AGCCAGACUCCUACUGGAGGCAGCAGUGGGGAAUAUUGGGCAAUGGGCGCAAGCCUGACCCAGCGACGCCGCGUGAAGGAAGAAGGCCUUCGGGUUGUAAACUUCUUUUCUCAGGGACGAAGAAAGUGACGGUACCUGAGGAAUAAGCCACGGCUAACUACGUGCCAGCAGCCGCGGUAAUACGUAGGUGGCAAGCGUUAUCCGGAUUUACUGGGUGUAAAGGGCGUGUAGGCGGGAAAGCAAGUCAGACGUGAAAACCACGGGCUCAACCUGUGGCCUGCAUUUGAAACUGUUUUUCUUGAGUACUGGAGAGGCAGACGGAAUUCCUAGUGUAGCGGUGAAAUGCGUAGAUAUUAGGAGGAACACCAGUGGCGAAGGCGGCCUGCUGGGCUUUUACUGACGCUGAGGCUCGAAAGUGUGGGGAGCAAACAGGAUUAGAUACCCGCGUA
rnacentral:rRNA from 1 species